AGGGCAAACUGCCAAAAUGCUGCUUAGGAAACGAAGUGCCCCGGGCUCGACACCGCUGUAAGGACGUAACCUUGAGAAGGGACAGCAUUCAAUAACCCCGGCUUCGGAUGCCUUCUUGAAUGUCUCAUUCCCCUGAACAAGGGCACUGGUGACAGAGCUCAUCUCUGGCAGCGAGAGAGGAAGCAAGGAGAGAUCUCCUUCUGAGUGCUCUUGUUUGAGGAGACAGCUUGGAGCUGUUAGUUUGCUGGAGAUGCUGACGUGGAUGAAUGGCUGACUCUGAGGUGGUGAAUUUGAUAGUUAUAUAUGGAGAUUUGUGCUCAGUUAACUUUUACAUCCUCGUUGGGAAUGACUGGGGAUGUUUCAGACCAGGGUUAUGUAUGAAGAUUUUAAUCUGUGUCAUAAAUUCACCCUCACAAUGCAGCUACUGGAAUAUCUGUGGGAGAGAGAAGGCAGGAUGGAAUGAGAGAGAACACGUUGAAGAGUUGCCUGUGAGGUGCUUGCAGCUUCUACUGUUGUUCUCGGCUGAUGUCCAUUUUAAUGACUGUGUUAGGGGAUAAAGUAUUUC